UCCCAGACUCCUACGGGAGGCAGCAGUAGGGAAUAUUGCACAAUGGGGGAAACCCUGAUGCAGCGACGCCGCGUGAGUGAAGAAGUAUUUCGGUAUGUAAAGCUCUAUCAGCAGGGAAGAAAAUGACGGUACCUGAUUAAGAAGCCCCGGCUAACUACGUGCCAGCAGCCGCGGUAAUACGUAGGGGGCAAGCGUUAUCCGGAUUUACUGGGUGUAAAGGGAGCGUAGACGGCGAUGCAAGCCAGAUGUGAAAGCCCGCAGCUCAACUGCGGUAGUGCAUUUGGAACUGUAUGGCUGGAGUGCAGGAGAGGCAGGCGGAAUUCCUAGUGUAGCGGUGAAAUGCGUAGAUAUUAGGAAGAACACCAGUGGCGAAGGCGGCUUACUGGACAGUAACUGACGUUAAGGCUCGAAAGCGUGGGGAGCAAACAGGAUUAGAUACCCUUGUA
rnacentral:rRNA from 1 species